CUGCGAUCUAAGUGGAAAUGUUAAUAAGUGAAAUGUAGAAAUAUCGCGAAGCACUUGUUAUCACGCUCGUAGAUCAAUUGUUAAAAUAGACAAGAACAUUUUGCCAGAACUGAGCAGGACGUGUCACAUUGCUUUAACCUGUCAUUUGAAGAACGCGAUCGCUUGGAAAUGGAAAAAGUGUCAUUUUUAGCCGCAGUGCUGUAAGAACCUUUUUUUACGUUUCUAGUCAACGCUGCAGCGCUGGUAGGAGGCAUCCGUGUUUUGACCAUUGGUGCGGCAACAACGGCGGUAACGCCUUUCUCUGCCCGGAAAACUGCACGUGUCCACCAAAUGGUUUUGGAGGGCAUUAUGGAGUGCAGUGUGUGCCCGAGUCUUAGGAAAGAACAUGUAACAAAAGAAUUGUUCAAUAAACAAUCAAAUGACAUUCAUUGAUGAC